rnacentral:rRNA from 1 species
UGAUCACGGAAGUUCAGAGAUGAGAAUGGUGCUUCGGGAACCGUGAGACAGGUGCUGCAUGGCUGUCGUCAGCUCGUGUUGUGAAAUGUUGGGUUAAGUCCCGCAACGAGCGCAACCCUUAUCCUUUGUUGCCAGCGGUCCGGCCGGGAACUCAAAGGAGACUGCCAGUGAUAAACUGGAGGAAGGUGGGGAUGACGUCAAGUCAUCAUGGCCCUUACGACCAGGGCUACACACGUGCUACAAUGGCGCAUACAAAGAGAAGCGACCUCGCGAGAGCAAGCGGACCUCAUAAAGUGCGUCGUAGUCCGGAUUGGAGUCUGCAACUCGACUCCAUGAAGUCGGAAUCGCUAGUAAUCGUGGAUCAGAAUGCCACGGUGAAUACGUUCCCGGGUCUUGUACACACCGA